rnacentral:rRNA from 1 species
GACGAACGCUGGCGGCGUGCUUAACACAUGCCAGUCGAACGGUGAAGCGCCUUCCUUUUUGGUGGGUGUGGAUGAGUGGCGAACGGGUGAGUAACACGUGAGUAACCUGCCCCCUUCUUCUGGAUAACCGCAUGAAAGUGUGGCUAAUACGGGAUAUUCUGGGUCUGUCGCAUGAUGGGUCUGGGAAAGAUAUUGUUUCGGUGGGGGAUGGGCUCGCGGCCUAUCAGCUUGUUGGUGGGGUGAUGGCCUACCAAGGCGGUGACGGGUAGCCGGCCUGAGAGGGUGGACGGUCACACUGGGACUGAGACACGGCCCAGACUCCGACGGGAGGCAGCAGUGGGGAAUAUUGCACAAUGGGCGCAAGCCUGAUGCAGCGACGCCGCGUGAGGGAUGGAGGCCUUCGGGUUGUGAACCUCUUUCGCCAGUGAAGCAGGCCUGCCUCGUUUGUGGGUGGGUUGACGGUAGCUGGAUAAGAAGCGCCGGCUAACUACGUG